UACGGGGGGGGCAAGCGUUGUUCGGAAUUACUGGGCGUAAAGGGCGCGUAGGCGGCUUGGGAAGUCCGUGGUGAAAGCCCGAGGCUCAACUUCGGGUCGGCCAUGGAUACUCCUAAGCUCGAGUUGACUAGAGGCUAAUGGAAUUCCGGGUGUAGCGGUGGAAUGCGUAGAGAUCCGGAAGAACACCGGUGGCGAAGGCGGUUAGCUGGGGUCGGACUGACGCUGAGGCGCGACAGCGUGGGGAGCAAACAGG
rnacentral:rRNA from 1 species